rnacentral:lncRNA from 1 species
AUCUGUCAGUGGACAUUUAGGUUGUUUCCUUGUCUUAACUAUUGUGAAUAGUGCUGCAAUGAACAUAGGGGUGCAUGUAUGUUUUUCAGUGGAAGUUUUGUCUGGAUAUAUGCCCAGCAGUGGGAUUGCUGGAUCAUAUGGUAUUUCUAUAUUUCGUUUUAUGAGGACCUUCCAUACUGAGUUCCAUAGUGGUUGUACCAAUUUACAUUCCCACCAACAAUGUAAGAGGGUUCCCUUUUCUCCACACCCUCUCCAGCAUUUGUUAUUUGUUGACUUGUUAAUGAUGGCCAUUCUGACUGGUGUGAAGUGGUACAACUAAUUGUAGUUUUGAUUUGGAUUUCUCUAAUAAUUAGUGAUGUUGAGCAUUUUUUCAUGUGCCUGUUGGCCAUCCGUAUGUCUUCUUUGGAGAAAUGUCUAGGUUUUCUGCACAUUUUUCAGGCGGGUUGUAUUUUUUGUUCUUGUUGAAUUGCAUGAGUUGUUUGUAUAUUUCGAGAUUAGGCCCUUGUCUCUUGCGUCAUUUGUAAAGAUUUUCUCCCAUUCCAUAGGUUGUCUUUUUGGUUUUUUUUUUAAUGGUUUUAUUUGCUGUGCAGAAGUUUUUGAGUUUAAUUGGUUUAAUUGAUUUAUUUUUGUCUUUAUUGUCAUUAUUCUAGGAAAUGGAUCAAACAAGAUGUUGCCAUGAUUUAUGUCAAAGAGCAUUCUGCCUAUGCAUUUGGCCUUAUAUUUAGGUCUUUCAUCCGUUUGGAGUUUAUUUUUGUGCAUGGUGUUAGAUAUGUUCUUCUUUCAUCCUUUUACAUGUAGCUGUCCAGGUUGCCCAGCACCAUUUAUUGAAGAGACUUAUCUUUCUUCCACAGUAUGUUCUUGCCUCCUAUGUCUUAGAUUCGUUGACCAUAGGUGCUCAGGUUUAUUUCUGGCUUUCUAUCCUGUUCCAUUGAUCUAUAUUUCUGUUUUUGUGCUAUGUUUUCCAUAUUGUUUUGAUUGUAGCUUUGUAGUAUCAACUAAAGUCAGGAAGUUUGAUGCCUCCAUUUUCAUUUUUCUUUUUCAAUAUUGCUUUGCUUAUACAAAUUUUAAAAUAUUCUAUUCUAGUUCUGUGAAAAAUGUUCUUGGUAAAUUGACAGGGAUUGCAUUGAAUCUGUAGCUUGCCUUGGGUAGUAUAGUUGUUUUGAUGGUAUUGAUUCUUCCAAUCCAAGAGCAGGGCAUAUCUUUCCAUCUGCUUGUGUCAUCUUUGAUUUCUUUCAUCAGUGGCUUAUAUUUUUCAGAGUAUAGGUCUUUCAUCUCUUUAGGUGGGUUUAUUCUUUGGUACUUUAUUAUUUUUGAUGUGAUUGUAAAUGGGAUGAUUUCUCUGAUUUCUCUUUCUGAUCUUUCAUUAUUAGUGUAUAGAAAUGCAAUUAAUUUCUGUGUUAAUUUUAUAGCCUGCAACUUUGCCAGAUUCAAUGAUGAGUUCUAAUAGUUUUCUGGUGCUAUCUUUAGGUUUUUCUAGGUAUAGUAUCAUGUCAUCUGCAAGCAGUGAUAGUUUUAUUUCUUCUUUUCCAAUUCAGAUUCCUUUUAUUUCUUUUUCUUCUCCUGUUGCUGUGGCUAGGAUUUCCAAAACUGUGUUGAAUAAUAGUGGUGAAAGUGGACAUCCUUGUCUUGUUCCUGAUCUUAGUAGAAAUGUUUUCAGUUUUUCACCAUUGGAAACUCAUUUCUUCUAUCCUAGAAAACUUUCAUUUUUCUUUUAUCAUGUUAAACCAUAGCAACCACAGCAGCUAAGUUUUUUAUCUUUUUGUUGUUGUUUCAGUUUUAGGGACGCCCCCGCGGCAUACAGGAGGUUCCCAGGCUAGGGGUCAAAUCGGAGCUACAGCUGCCAGCCUACACCACAGUCACAGCAACUUGGGAUUUGAGCCACAUCUGCAACCUACACCACAGCUUGCAGCAAUGCUAGAUCCUUAACACACUGAGCGAGGUCAGGGAUCUUACCCGCGUUGUCACAGAUACGAGUUGGAUUUGUUUCCACUGUGCCACGGUGAGAAUUCCUAUAAUUUUAAUUUUCAUAUUUACUAUGCAAAAUUUGAUACAUUCUACUUUUCUCUUGUUUAAUGGGGAGUCACAGAAAGCUUUAUUAUAUAUUCUGUAGCUUAAUAGCUAUGGCCGUUUAUCUCAGUUUAUUUAGAAUAAAGAAAGGCAUUAUGAAGAGGCCCAAAUACAGAUUUAAUGUCCUGAUAGAUCAAAUAGCAUUUAUUGUUUUUUUAGCCAUAGUUCCAGAACCAGCCUUCCCCAAGCUUGUUCACAGUCAGAGACCCAAAAACAAAGGUUGCAAAUCAGGUGUCACUAUCCUGAAAAACAAGUGUUAAUGGUAUUGGAUUGAUAUCUAUAAUUCUCCCUUUCAAUUAAAGCAUAUUUACCUCAUUGUUUUAGUGAUUUCAACUUACAAAUUAAAAUUUAAUAAAUUGAUAGUUUAUAUGAUAUUUUUCUGUUUUGCAUAAGCCAUGAAAGUAGCAUAAAUGAAAUAUGUAAGUUAAAAGGUACAGUAAUGGCUUUAUAAGUUUACUUAUAAAUAAAAUCAACAAGAUACUGGAGUUUGAAAUUUCAGUUUAAAAACAACAUUUAAAGAAUUUUAGGGAGUUCCCGUCGUGGCGCAGUGGUUAACGAAUCCAACUAGGAACCAUGAGGUUGCGGGUUCGGUCCCUGCCCUUGCUCAGUGGGUUAACGUGAGCUGUGAUGUAGGUUGCAGACGCGGCUCAGAUCCUGCGUUGCUGUGGCUCUGGCGUAGGCCGGCGGCUACAGCUCCGAUUGGACCCCUAGCCUGGGAACCUCCCUAUGCCGCGGGAGUGGCCCAAGAAAUAGCAAAAAGACAAAAAAAAAAAAAAAAAAAAAAAAAAAAAG